AUUUGUAAGGUUGAUGUCAGAGAAUGUUUUGCCUAUGUUCUCUUCCAGGAGUUUGAUGAUGUCUCAGUCUUGAUUUCUGAUUGCAGGGAUUUUAUUAACUUUUUUCAUUUUGUCCGAACUAGGGAAGGACAUUUUGAUAAGUAUAUAUAGAGGUCAAAUUUUUUCCUUUUGCCUCAGGCUGCAGCAUGGCUUUCCACUCCCAGUUUUGUCAGAUUUCAGAUCCCAAGUUGAAAGUCUACACCUGUGGCUCUGAAGCCUGGCUGUACCUUAAAAUCACCCAAGGAACCAUCAACACAUCCUCAUGCCUGGGACCCAUCCCCAGGGUUCCCUUCACUUUAUCUGGUGGUUCUCAGUAGGUCCUAGCAUUGGUUUGUUGCAAAACUCUCCAGUUCAUUCUAAUGUCUGGCCAAGGGUUGACAAUGAUUUUGCUGCAUUGCACUGGCACCCUUGAGGGGUGGCAGGAAUCCAGCACCCAAAAUGAAACUCUCUCUGAGCUUUCUGUAAGGUGAGGUCAGCUGGAAAACACAACCUGUGUCAGAUUGGAACAAGAAUCAUAGAAUUUUAGAGCUAGACAGUGCCUUUUAGAUAGACAGUCAUAGAUUGUCUAAAAGCUAGAUAAUGUCUAUCUAAUUGUCUAUCUAAAAGCUAGAUAAUGCCUUAGGAAUCAUAGAUUGCCAGUUUUACUAAUGAGAAAACAGAGGCUCAAAUAUUGUAUGAUGUCACAUAGAUGUGGAGUCUUAAAACAAAAAAUAAAACUUAAGCUCAGAGAUAGGGAAAACAGAUCAGUGGUUGACAGAUGGGCAAAAUGGAUAAAGGUGAUCAAACAGUACAAACUUCCAGCUAUAAAAUAAAUAAGUCAUGAGGAUGAAAUGUACAGCUUGGUGACUAUACUCAAUGAUACUACACUAUAUUUGAAAGUUGCUAAGAGGAAAUCUUAAAAGUUCUCAUCAUAAGGAAAAAAAAUUGUAACUCUGGUAAGGAAUGCUAACUAGACUUGUGAUUAUUUUGCAAUAUAGACAAAUAUCGAAUCAUUAUGUUGUACACUCGAAACUAAUAUGCAUAAUAUUAUAUGUCCAUUAUACAUCAAUUAAAGAAAAAGAGGCUGAGAAAGGUGACCCCCAAAUUGCACACAAGGGGCAGAGAGACGGGAGCAAAAGCUUUCCGGAACUCAGCCCAAGCUCUUUUCAAGGCCCCCAUCAGAGAAAAAAACACUUCCCUCUCUCACCAAAAAGAAAUGAAAGCCCCCAGAGUCAGUGAUUUUCCCUCCAGUCAGAAGAAUUAUAGUAAAAAUUGUCUAUUUAGUUCAGGAUCUAAAAACAUUUUUUCAGGACAAUUGGGAUUAAUCUGAACCCUUUAGGAAAAGGAACAGCCUGCAGGCAAAUAUUUGGUUGGAUGAUCGGCAUAAUGUUUUAAGAAGUGGACCCAACAUUUAAACGUGGAGAGAUGUCACCUAAAAUUUUAGAUAAACUUCUUCUCCCGCGGCCUUGGGAUACUUGGCACUUGAACCUGCAUUCCUGACAGUAACAACUGUCACUGCCCAUUGUAGGAAGCCUCCACCGCUUCCGGCCGCAUUCAGGACUCUAGGCUGGCUCAGUGUCACUGCAAAACGUAAAAGGAAAGCAGACAUCCGUGCAAUGCCAGAAUCCUCUACUCUUGUCUAUUUCAGGCAUUUGUAUUAUCUAUUUGGCCGGGUAAUAUUUGAGUUUGCAGCCCAUGAGCUCCCUGUCACAGGCAUCAUGCCCCAACUCUGGGGCAAAAGAGCAGUUCCUGGGCUCCCUUCUGAAAGAGCUGCGCCGGCCAGGUGGUGAGGCGGUUUUCUGCAGUGGAGACCUGAGCAAGGCCCUCUUCCGAAGAGCCGGGGGAGGGCUGGAUCUUCUCUUCUUGGGUUUAGCUGUCAAUCAUCCCAACUCCGCAGACAGUUCGAUAUUUUCAUUAGAAAUCUCUGCUCUACGUCGCCAAGGUUUUUCUUCCUGCUGGCUUGCUUUUCUUCCAUCCCGGGAUGCCCUUCCUCUUUUCAUCUAAAAUCCAUGGGUCCUUCCAGGUUUAGCUUCCUGGAUUACUCUGAUCCAUGGUGUUCUCUCCCUUCUCAGAAACUUCUCCUAAGGCACCACGUCAAUAGGGAAACCCUAUUGCUCUUUUUUGAUUUCCCCAGGCCGGGGAUAAGCUCCUUAAGUUUGCCUGCUUGUAAUUCCUUUGAAUCCUCCCUAACACCCAGGACGGUGCUGGACAAACAGGAUAGUCACAACACACCCUGUGCUUUUCAGCUCAGGAUCCCCUCCGCCUCCCUCCAACCGGCCAAGCAGGCGCUGCAGCUCCCACUUGCAGGCACUAGAGGUCGCUCGGCCACACACAUCUUGCCCUGCCCAGGUUCCGGGCUGCACACAGAUUACUAGCGCCUCUGGAAGUAGGGCAAGCUCGUUUAUUUCCUCUCCAACAUAGCCUCGGGCCAUCAGAGCGUCUCAUGUCAGGGUCCCUGCCGAGCAAGCUGCAGAAUGAAAACACUGCGAAUAAGAAAGGUCACUGCAUCCGCUCUGCACAUUUACUUCUCACCUGAAAUCUCUGCUUCACUAGCAACGACCUGGCUCAGGCUGUGAACACUGCCUGAGUCGAUGUUCCAGCAGGAGGGAGAAGAAAUCUAUGACUACUGCGCAUAUGCGUGUGUACUUACAGAUUAUUGCCUCAGGUCCGUGGUCCAGCGUUGUGACAAGCUGUCCAUCUGAGGUUCAUGCUUCCUUCAAUUCAAUGCUGCAAGGUACAAGCUGACUGAAAGAAGACCAGCAAUUGGUUGAUUAAUACCAUUGAAGAGGCGUGUCUUCUCCUCCCACAAUAUUAAGGAGCUAUUGUGCAGGUUAUCCUAAUGUUUGACUAGCCCUUCCUGUGUAUCUAAGGCUGAAUCCAACAGCCACUUUUGCCUCACCAGCUAUUCACUGUUUAUAACCCCAGCACUUGAAGUACCAGAGGGUUCAGAGGGAGUCAGUUAUGAAUCAAGGAGAAAAGCAUGGUUGGAAUGAAAAGCUCAGCGGCUGAUGGUCUCCGUUCCUUCGAAAGCCAAGUUGAGGAUGCUGAAAUCCCCUUAUUGUCUUUGGUACCUCAGUGUUCCUAUUUGUGAAAGGCUGAUAAAGAUGCCAGGGAUUCUGGAAAAAGAAAUGGAAUGCAUAUCGACUGGCCACCCAGUAAAACAGAUUUCAGAUGCAAAUAGAAACAAAAAGCUGGGGGAAGUAUGAAGAGUUUUAAGGAUAAAAGAAGAAAAAAAACCUGAAAAGAUAAUCCUUUUAAGAAGCUGAUUUUUUCUUAGUCAUUCCCAAAGUAAGAGGGCCAGGGUAAUACUGCCAAUGCUUAACUCCAAAAUAGAUAAAAGGUUAAAAAAAAAAAAAAGGCUGCUCUAUUGAGGAAAAAAGUCCUGAAAUAACCUAUUACUGGUGUUCAGAAGUCAACUUGUCCAUGAAGACAAGGUCAUCAUUCAUCUUUAUAAAAAGAGACACUGAACAAAGACAAAUAAGUUAAAGCAUUUACUUUUACAUAACACCAGGACAGGUAAAAAAAAAAAAAAAUAGCUAUAAUUCACAGGCCUUGAGCAUGACAGAGAAAUUUAAAGCUUUAGGAGACGUCCUAUGAAAUGCUACACUUCUGGUUUCAACAAAUGCUUGGAGACAUCAUGAAAGUCCUUUUCAUAUGGACAGAAAAUUUUGUUCACCAUUUCUUUUAAAUUCUUUAAAAACCUUUCUUUCUUUCUUUCUUUCUUUUUUUCAAAAUCCCCUUCAGAUUACUCUGUGUCUUGACCUAAAAUCAGAGUCAAAUGAUUCACAGCUUUAGGAGCUUACAUCUAAUUUUACUACCUUUGGCCUUAGUAUUUAUCAACUUCAACACAGAACAAUGCAUUACUCUAACAAUAGUAGACCUUACUGAUUCUGUGAGCUCUCCAUUUGGCUUUUGAAUAUAAUAGCCUUUGUAUGGUUCUUUUAAAUUGACCUAUACAUAUACAGAGGCACAAAUUCCUCCAAAAUGAAUAAUAGAAAGAAAAAUUAAUGCAUUCAUGCAAUGAAAACUUGACAUAAAUAUAUCCCUAAUUAUGGUGGUAAAUGCAUAGGAGACUAGGGCCAUAGAUUAACCUGUAGUAAGAGUAAGAUUUCUGCAGAAUCUCCUGUUUAUCAAAAAAAUUAUGGAAAUUUGAAUUGUACAUCAUGCUAUAUACAAGUUUCUUUUCAUAUUAUAAUGAUAUUUUCCUCCCAAAUUUCCUAGUUGGAUGGCAUCCAUCACCAUAGCAAAACAGAAAGAAAGCCCACAAGACUUUUGAUUAAAUCUUCUGGCUAUUUUCAGGCCAAGUGUUUUGUUUUCUCUUUUGAAUUAUUCAAAUCUCCCUGCCCAGUCAUGCCCUACACUUUGCAAAAGUGUAAUACUAAGAAAUCUUAUAAUUUUUUAUUACUUGCAGAUUUUUCUGGGGCAGGAAUAUCAUUUAAAAUGUUCCCUAAGGAGAAACCAAGUGAGAGGGGAAUUUUCCUCCGAAUUUUCAAUUGUAGUUUAUAGUGAAUGGGAAAAUCACUUCUCACUUAGAUCUACAUGGCUAUUUGUGAGCAGAAAAUAGUUUUAAUUAUUCUGCCUAUGCAACCAAGAUUUUCUGGGACAAUCCCAAUUUCUUUCUUUUCAAUAAAUGUGAAUUUCCAUUACACUUGCAGGAAAUUGUCCAACACACACACUCACAUAGGUGAUUAAAGCCCAUUGUAGAAAGCUGUUCUCUGCACCCAUGUGGAUAUUGGUAAACAACUGGAAACAAGUUAAAUGCUCUUCAGCAGGGGGAAUAGUUUAAGAAAUUUCUGUACAUGCAGUACUAUAACACCAAGCAGAAUCAGGUAGAUCUCCAUGUACUAGUCUGGGAAAAUAGUCAAGAUACAUUGUUUGUUGAAAAAUAUCAAGUUAUAGAACAGAUGUUUAGUAUACUCCCAUUUGUCUCACACUUUGAAAAAUUCUACCAUAUAUAUUUGUAAAGGGUUAGAAAAUCUCUGGCAGGACAGAUCAGAAACAAACCCCAAAUCACCUCUGUUGUUGGGAGGCAGGUUAGGGAUAAAUGGAGGUUUACUUGUAAGUCGUAUUUCCACAUCAUCUCUGUGAACUAAACCCUCCCUGAUUCCUCCCAAUUCUCACUGCUUCCCACUAUGUUGGAGAUCCUGUCAUGUCAUAACUUACACAGCAGUGGCCACAAGAUGUGGGUUUGCAUGAGACUGGCAUGAGAUGGUUGGAAAAAUAAAGACGGUGGGAGUUUCCACCAUGGUACAGUGGGCUAAGGAUCACUGUGGCUGUGUGGGUUCUAUCCCCCCACCUGGUGCAGUAGGUUAAAUGAUCUGGCAUUGCUGCAACUGCAGCGUAAGUCAUAGCUGGGGCAUGGCCUGGGAACUUCCAUAUGCUGUGGGUGUAGCAAAAAAAAAAGAAAGAAAAGAAGGUGGAGGCACAGAACUUAAUUAGCUACGAGGUUGACUGUUGAGGGCUACAGCUAUGGGUCAGGGGUGGUGUCUAAGAGAGAUGAGCUAUUCUCAACAAUGUCAAGAAAAGUCCUAAUCAGGAGUUCCUGUCAUGACUCAGCCAUUAACGAAUCUGACUAGCAUCCAUGAGGAUGCAGGUUCAAUCCCUGGCCUUGCUCAGUGGGUUAAGGAUCCGGUGUUGCUGUGAGCUGUGGCGUAGGUCGCAGACGCUGCUCAGAUCCUGUGUUGCUGUGGUUGUGGUGUAGGCCGGCAGCUUUAGCUCCAAUUUGACCCCUAGCCUGGGGAACCUCCAUGUGCCAUGGAUGCGGCCCUAAAGAGCAAAAAAAAAAAAAAAGUCUUGAUCAGUAGUGGGUAUAGGAGCUGCCAUGUGGAGACGACCCAGGAAUUCAAACGCAUGGUAGCAUCAUCAUCCCAAACUAUCCAACUUUUUCCUUGGGCUUGGUUUGUGGUGGACAUCUUGUUCUUCUUUUUCACAGAACCAAAAUUUCAUUUUGGGCUACAGGGUACUCAGUUAAAAACAAUUACUUCCACAGACUUUCUUAAUAUUAGAGGUGACCAAGGUAUUCAGUGUUGGCCAGUAGGUUGAAAGCAAAUGUCUUUUGGGUGAAACUUUUUGAAAAUUAGUUUUUUUUCGUGAUGAAAUAAAAAGGGCAGACUCAAGUGUCUUAUGCCUUUAUCCUUUCAUCUUUCAACCUGCCUGGAAAUAGACUUGAGAUCUGGGGGUAGAAAGGCCAUCUUGUAACCAGAAAGAUGAAAUCAAACAAUGAGGAUUGUAGAGAGGUCAUCAUUGAUGACCUCAGAUACUUUCAGAGGUCCUAGCCUGGGGGUCCCUCUGCAGGUCCAGUCAUAUAAGAAACAUGGCCUUCUGUUUGGCUAAGCUACUGUCAGCAGGUGUCUACGGUCAAAGGUAAUCCUAACCUAUUCUGGAUCCUCCAGCAAAAGUUCAGGAUCGAGGAAACAAAGGGCUGUCAAGGUUCUGGAUGGGUCAUGAGAAUUCUGGACCAGUGGCUAUGAUCCUGUUGAAUGGAGGAGUCCGGAAAAUGGACCAGGACUCCGGGAGAAGCCAGAAACCUGAGAAAAUAGAGAGAGACUGCAUGUUGGCAUGGUCUCCGGUACCCAGGACACACCUGAAAAAUCUUUGGUCUGUUUGAAGAGCAGGAUGCUUCAGGAAACAAAAGGUGUCUAAGCACCAUUUGUGGAGAAGACUGUCCCUUGCCCAUUGAAAGGUCUUGGCACCCUCGUCAUAAAGCAGUGAAUCAAAAAUGUAAGGAUUGGAGUUCCCGUCGUGGCGCAGUGGUUAACGAAUCCGACUAGGAACCAUGAGGUUG